rnacentral:rRNA from 1 species
GAUUAAACUCACCUUCGGGUGAGAUAUAAAGUGGCGCACGGGUGAGUAACACGUAGGUAAUGUGCCCUUGGGUGGGGAAUAACUUAGGGAAACUUAAGCUAAUACCGCAUAAUGCAGCGGCUCCUUCGGGAGACAGUUGUUAAAGAUUUAUCGCCUAAAGAGCAGCCUGCGGCAGAUUAGCUAGUUGGUAAGGUAACGGCUUACCAAGGCUACGAUCUGUAUCCGACCUGAGAGGGUGGUCGGACACACUGACACUGAAUAACGGGUCAGACUCCUACGGGAGGCAGCAGUCGGGAAUUUUGGGCAAUGGGCGAAAGCCUGACCCAGCAACGCCGCGUGAAGGAUGAAGUCUUUCGGGAUGUAAACUUCGUAAGAAUAGGAAGAAUAAAUGACGGUACUAUUUGUAAGGUCCGGCUAACUACGUGCCAGCAGCCGCGGUAAUACGUAGGGACCAAGCGUUGUUCGGAUUUACUGGGCGUAAAGGGCGCGUAGGCGGCGUGUCAAGUCAAUUGUGAAAUCUUCGAGCUUAACUCGGAACGGUCAAUUGAUACUGAUGUGCUAGAGUGCAGAAGGGGCAAUCGGAAUUCUUGGUGUAGCGG